GCCAGGCAUGGUGGUGCAUGCCUGUAGUCCCAGCUACUUGGGAGGCUGAGGCAGGAGAAUCACUCGAACCUGGGAGGCGGAGGUUGUAGUGAGCUGAGAUCAUGCCACUGCAAUCUAGCCUGGGUGACAGAGUGCGACUCUGUCUCAA
rnacentral:SRP_RNA from 1 species